rnacentral:rRNA from 1 species
GAUGAACGCUGGCGGCGUGCCUAAUACAUGCCAGUCGAGCGAACGGACGAGAAGCUUGCUUCUCUGAUGUUAGCUGCGGACGGGUGAGUAACACGUGGAUAACCUACCUAUAAGACUGGGAUAACUUCGGGAAACCGGAGCUAAUACCGGAUAAUAUUUUGAACCGCAUGGUUCAAAAGUGAAAGACGGUCUUGCUGUCACUUAUAGAUGGAUCCGCGCUGCAUUAGCUAGUUGGUAAGGUAACGGCUUACCAAGGCAACGAUGCAUAGCCGACCUGAGAGGGUGAUCGGCCACACUGGAACUGAGACACGGUCCAGACUCCUACGGGAGGCAGCAGUAGGGAAUCUUCCGCAAUGGGCGAAGGCCUGACGGAGCAACGCCGCGUGAGUGAUGAAGGUCUUCGGAUCGUAAAACUCUGUUAUUAGGGAAGAACAUAUGUGUAAGUAACUGUGCACAUCUUGACGGUACCUAAUCAGAAAGCCACGGCUAACUACGUG